rnacentral:tRNA from 1 species
CCUUGAUUAGCUCAGUUGGUAGAGCGCUCCACCUGUAAUGGAGAGGCUGGGGUUCGAUACCCGGACCAGGCG